UGAGGAAUAUUGGUCAAUGGUCGGCAGACUGAACCAGCCAAGUCGCGUGAGGGAAGACGGCCCUACGGGUUGUAAACCUCUUUUGUCGGAGAGUAAAGUACGCUACGUGUAGCGUAUUGCAAGUAUCCGAAGAAAAAGCAUCGGCUAACUCCGUGCCAGCAGCCGCGGUAAUACGGAGGAUGCGAGCGUUAUCCGGAUUUAUUGGGUUUAAAGGGUGCGUAGGCGGCACGCCAAGUCAGCGGUGAAAUUUUCGGGCUCAACCCGGACUGUGCCGUUGAAACUGGCGAGCUAGAGUGCACAAGAGGCAGGCGGAAUGCGUGGUGUAGCGGUGAAAUGCAUAGAUAUCACGCAGAACCCCGAUUGCGAAGGCAGCCUGCUAGGGUGCGACAGACGCUGAGGCACGAAAGCGUGGGUAUCGAACAGGAUUAGAUACCCUGGUAGUCCACGCAGUAAACGAUGAAUACUAACUGUUUGCGAUACAAUGUAAGCGGUACAGCGAAAGCGUUAAGUAUUCCACCUGGGGAGUACGCCGGCAACGGUGAAACUCAAAGGAAUUGACGGGGGCCCGCACAAGCGGAGGAACAUGUGGUUUAAUUCGAUGAUACGCGAGGAACCUUACCCGGGCUCAAACGCAGGGGGAAUAUAUAUGAAAGUAUAUAGCUAGCAAUAGUCACCUGCGAGGUGCUGCAUGGUUGUCGUCAGCUCGUGCCGUGAGGUGUCGGCUUAAGUGCCAUAACGAGCGCAACCCCUAUCGACAGUUACUAACGGGUCAAGCCGAGGACUCUGUCGAGACUGCCGGCGCAAGCCGCGAGGAAGGUGGGGAUGACGUCAAAUCAGCACGGCCCUUACGUCCGGGGCGACACACGUGUUACAAUGGCAGGUACAGAAGGCAGCCAGUCAGCAAUGACGCGCGAAUCCCGAAAACCUGUCUCAGUUCGGAUUGGAGUCUGCAACCCGACUCCAUGAAGCUGGAUUCGCUAGUAAUUGCGCAUCAGCCAUGGCGCGGUGAAUACGUUCCC
rnacentral:rRNA from 1 species